rnacentral:rRNA from 1 species
CAGUCGCCGCGGUAAUACGAAGGGGGCUAGCGUUGUUCGGAAUCACUGGGCGUAAAGCGCACGUAGGCGGACUUUUAAGUCAGGGGUGAAAUCCCAAGGCUCAACCUUGGAACUGCCUUUGAUACUGGAAGUCUUGAGUUCGGGAGAGGUGAGUGGAACUGCGAGUGUAGAGGUGAAAUUCGUAGAUAUUCGCAAGAACACCAGUGGCGAAGGCGGCUCACUGGCCCGAUACUGACGCUGAGGUGCGAAAGCGUGGGGAGCAAACAGGAUUAGAUACCACCGUAGUCCCUGUCUCUUAUAC